CUGUCAAUUGUCAGUAAAGGGAAAGAGGGGUGGGGUAUUGAUUAGAUAGAGCGCGCUUCUGGGCUCCGGUGUCACGUGCAGGAGGCGGGAGAGUCACCUGAUUAGGGAGUAUCGGUCUUCUGAGCCACUUCCGCCCUCACUGGUUGCCGUGGUAACAGGCCUCCGGUGGAGGGCGGGGACCCUCGGAAGCCAGCUGGGUGGCGAUCGCUUGUCAGCCUUGGCAGGCCCCUUGUGCAGUCUUUUCCCGGCGUGAGCGUGCAGGGAUUGAAAAGGAAUGCUUUAUGGUUCAGCAGAGAGCCACCACGCAGGAUGCACUGGGACCUGAGAACCGUCGGGCAGUCCCACCAGCUCUUUCAUGACCAACUCCAACCGACAAGUACACGCCCCUUCUCGCACUCCACUAACUAUCAAGCUGAGCUACAAGGUGUGCCAGGCACCCAGGACGCCGAUUCACCGCUUCAGUGAAGGCCCAGCUCAAAUGCCACCUCUUCCAUGAAGACUUCUGUGAUCCACAAUGAUAGCAUCUCCAGCAAUUGCUUCUAUAAUAAAUAGCAUGAGUCAUUCUGCA